rnacentral:rRNA from 1 species
UACGAAGGGGGCUAGCGUUGUUCGGAUUUACUGGGCGUAAAGCGCAUGUAGGCGGGUCGUUAAGUUGGGGGUGAAAUCCCGAGGCUCAACCUCGGAACUGCCUUCAAAACUGGCGACCUGGACCCAAGUAGAGGCGAGUGGAAUUCCGAGUGUAGAGGUGAAAUUCGUAGAUAUUCGGAGGAACACCAGUGGCGAAGGUGACUCGCGGGACUUGUGGUGACGCUGAGAUGCGAAAGCGUGGGGAGCAAACAGG